rnacentral:rRNA from 1 species
CUAGGUUAACGGGCGAGUGAGAGGAAGAGCUCAAAGUUGGAAACUGUUUGGCUUAGCUAAACCGUAUUGUAAACUGUAGAAACAUUUUCCUGGCACGCCGGAUUAAUAAGUCCUUUGGAACAAGGCAUCAUGGAGGGUGAGAAUCCCGUCUUUGAUCCGAGUAGUUGUCUUUUGUGAUAUGUUUUCAAAGAGUCAGGUUGUUUGGGAAUGCAGCCUAAAUUGGGUGGUAAAUCUCACCUAAAGCUAAAUAUUUGCGAGAGACCGAUAGCGAACAAGUACCGUGAGGGAAAGAUGAAAAGAACUUUGAAAAGAGAGUUAAACAGUAUGUGAAAUUGUUAAAAGGGAACCGUUUGGAGCCAGACUGGUUUGACUGUAAUCAACCUAGAAUUCGUUCUGGGUGCACUUGCAGUCUAUACCUGCCAACAACAGUUUGAUUUGGAGGAAAAAAUUAGUAGGAAUGUAGCCUCUCGAGGUGUUAUAGCCURCUAUCAUACUCUGGAUUGGACUGAGGAACGCAGCGAAUGCCWUUAGGCGAGAUUGCUGGGUGCUUUCGCUAAUAAAUGUUAGAAUUUCUGCUUCGGGUGGUGCUAAUGUUUAAAGGAGGAACACAUCUAGUAUAUUUUUUAUUCGCUUAGGUUGUUGGCUUAAUGACUCUAAAUGACCCGUCUUGAAACACGGACCA